rnacentral:rRNA from 1 species
GAGACACGGCCCAGACUCCUACGGGAGGCAGCAGUAGGGAAUCUUCCGCAAUGGACGAAAGUCUGACGGAGCAACGCCGCGUGAGCGAUGAAGGCCUUCGGGUCGUAAAGCUCUGUUGUCAGGGAAGAACAAGUACCGGAGUAACUGCCGGUACCUGAC